ensembl:lncRNA
AUACCGAAUGGUGAGUAUUUUGUAAGUCAACUUUUGGGGUGCAUCGGAGAGGGAGAGGUGGGUGACGCUGGGCGCGUCAUCCUUUCCGCUCCGCUCUGCGGCUUUAGGGAAUGUUUUUCGAACAUGUCGAAUGAAGACAUAACAGAGAGAAUGCCUGCUUAAUCUGGAAGCCAGCCACUCCACUGUGUCAGAGGAAACACCGUACACCUGGCGAAUGUGUCAGCGUGCAUGCACCUGGCCCGCUAGAGCAUGAUGGGACAAGGACAUCCCUGCGGGCCAAAACCCUCCCCUAACCUGGACAACGCUGGGCCAAUUGUGUGCCGCCCCAUGGGUCUCCCGGUCGCGGUCUUGUGGCACAGCUAGCAACUGCGAUGCACUAAUAUGAGGAAAUAUAUUUUCGUAUAUAAACUGACGGCCAAAUUAUGACACAAAUCAUUUGAACUGCGAGGCUGGUAACUCUAAUGAACUUAUCCUCUGCAGCAGAGGUAACUCUGGGUCUUCCUUUCCUGUGGUGGUCCUCAUGACAGCCAGGUAACUCUAAUGAACGUGUCCUCUGCAGCAGAGGUAACUCUGGGUCUUCCUUUCCUGUGGUGGUCCUCAUGACAGCCAGGUAACUCUAAUGAACGUGUCCUCUGCAGCAGAGGUAACUCUGGGUCUUCCUUUCCUGUGGUGGUCCUCAUGACAGCCAGGUAACUCUAAUGAACGUGUCCUCUGCAGCAGAGGUAACUCUGGGUCUUCCUUUCCUGUGGUGGUCCUCAUGAGAGCCAGGUAACUCUAAUGAACGUGUCCUCUGCAGCAGAGGUAACUCUGGGUCUUCCUUUCCUGUGGUGGUCCUCAUGAGAGCCAGGUAACUCUAAUGAACGUGUCCUCUGCAGCAGAGGUAACUCUGGGUCUUCCUUUCAUAGUGCUUGACGUUUUUUGCAAUUGCACAUGAAGAAACCUUUAAAAAGUUCUUGAAAUUUUCCAGAUUGACUGACCUUCAUGUCUUAAAGUAGUGAUGGAUUGUCGUAUCUCUUUGCUUAUUUGAGCUCUUCUUGCCAUAAUGUAGACUUGAGCUGUGUUUGAAUACCCAUUCUAACAUAGUGUAUACUACAUAUUUAAUGAGUAUAUACUACAUACUAUUAGUUCAUUUUAGUAUACUGGAAACGAAUGGUAUCCUUUCAGUUGAGCUACGCCUGUCUACCGGAAAGUUGAUGCUUUCGCUAUGCAACCGCUUGUUAUUUUAACAAAUUGCUAGCUAAACAUUUUACGAUUUCGGGUUUGUUCGUAAAUUCAGACUCUCGGAGCGUUCAGAGCGCACACUGGACUGGCGGAGGAGCUACGGUUGAUCCGAGGGUUCAACCGGCAGUCAAGCACUGGCUAACGUUGGCUAGUUAUUCCAGACACAUCAUGAGAGAACACCUCACUCUGACCAUUUUACUCCCCCAAUCAGAGCUGGUUAGGUUGUUUGUGUUAUCCAGAGCGUUGGUGACUAAAUGUGCUGCUGGCAACAAUUUAAUUACGCUUUUUUUUUGCUGAUGUUUACUGACACCGGCCAUAUUCAACAGGUGUUGAAUGUUUGUAAAUUCAUCAGUUAUUCUGCGGGAGAAAUCAGAGUAGAUAGCUAAGUGGUAAAGUUGUACGAUUCAAUGGCUAAUGAUGUCAAUAAACGUUGUUGGGUAGUUUAGUUAAUAUACUGCCUGGCAUGUUCGAUGUAUUAGUAGCUAGCUAACAUACCGGUACAUACUGCUGUAAUGCUAAUGCGGUUCGUAAGGACAGCAUAGCUAACAAAUUGUCAGCCAACAUAACGUGUAACGUAUUUGAAAAGGCAUUACUUUAUUACAUAUUUCAAUUUUCUUAACAUAUGUUUAUAAGCAAUGAAUUUGUGUCUGACUUUGGCUGCAUAUUUUCCACCAUUUUUAAUCUAAUCUGAAAACACGAAGCCACGCCCAUUUUCUGAAUAAUUGCAUUAUGGGUCCUAUAAGCAUGGAAAUAGUGUCCACUGCACGUAUACUUAGUAUUUUGGCGAAUUUAGUACGUCAUCCGGGAGCUUUUGGCAUACUAACCUAUGACCAAUAAGUAUACUAUAUACUCAAUUCACUUCACAAAUAGUAGUGUUAGGGAAGUCAGUAGAAGUAUUCAAACACAGCUUUGGUCUUACCAAAUAGGGAUCUUUCUGUAUACCACCCCUACCUUGUCACAGCACAACUGAUUGGCUUAAACAAGGCACACCUGUUAAUUGAAAUGCAUUCCAGGUGACUACCUCGUGAAGCUGGUUGAGAGAAUGCAACGAGUGUGCAAAGUUGUCAUUAAGCCAAAAGGUGGCUAC